CCGGGCGAGUGCAGGGUGAGCUAAAAGAAAGUCCCCGGGUGGAAGAUUCAUUAUUUGCCACCGGAGACUAUGAAAAGGGGGUAGGGCUUACGAAAGGUAGGGGCAGAGCUUACUGCAUGGAGGAGGGGGGGCUAAAAGGCACUGAAGUUGUACUGCACAGAAAAGAAUCCCUGCUUCCACUCCUCCCAUCCAGCCAUAAGGGAAAUAGGGAAUUGUGACUGUACAGUACUGUGUGUGUGUGUGAGUGUGAGAGAGACUGUCUGCCUGUGUGUGUGUGAGACUGUACUCUGUGUGUGACUAUAACAGUGUCUGACUGUGUGUAUGUGUGUGUGACUGUACUCUGUGUGUGAAUGUCUGCUUGUGUGUGUGUGUGUG